rnacentral:rRNA from 1 species
UACGUAGGGACCAAGCGUUGUUCGGAUUUACUGGGCGUAAAGGGCGCGUAGGCGGCAAUUCAAGUCAGCUGUGAAAUCUCCGGGCUUAACUCGGAACGGUCAGCUGAUACUGCUUUGCUAGAGUGCAGAAGGGGCAAUCGGAAUUCUUGGUGUAGCGGUGAAAUGCGUAGAUAUCAAGAGGAACACCUGAGGUGAAGACGGGUUGCUGGGCUGACACUGACGCUGAGGCGCGAAAGCGAGGGUAGCAAACGGG